UGAUUUAAUGACUGUGAUGUGUAUUUUAGGUUGAAAGACAGUUUUUUAAACUCUUCUUUAACCAGGCAGUUGACUCAUCAGGAAAUGAAAUGCCAUGGUAAUGAGGGGACAUGACAGAUAGGCAAUAAACAAGCUUGCUAUUAUACUUCUACAUGUUUAAUGACACGGAGCAGCACAACAGGUGGUGCAGAUGUUUCUGGCUGGAGUUUCUUGUGUCUAAUAUUGUGCAGCCUUGGCCUUCAGUUUUUGCCUUAGGCUUAUCAAUAGACUUACUUGGACUUUAAUAAGCUUAAACUUCUACACUCCUGCGUUCAAACCAGUUGGUUCAAAACCCACAUUGAAAUGUGCAUUGCUACUAGAGAGCAGUGAGACAACCAGACAACCACAAGCUGGAAAAGACCACCAACGAGACUGUGACCGCAGCUUACCCACUGGGGAACCACUGCCACUUAGCAAGGAAACUGAGGAACAGCUGUGAAGGCUCACUGUGAGAUGUAAUCACCAAUCAUUUGAGAACCACUACAGUCUGCGAUACCUGCACAGCAGUACUCCAGAGGUGUGGACCACUCCAGCUGAAAGAGAGUGGAGCUGCAGAAGCUUCCUAUUUAUGUGCAGAGAAUUACUUUCUCAGUUCAUCAAGAAAGAAAGGGAGGAGUUCAUCAAGAAAGAGGGAGAGCAGGGGAGGAAUUGCUACACAUCAAGCCCUACAAAUAAACAACACAAAAAACAUCUUCUCUUUCCUUGCUGGAAUUAAACAAAAUGGCUAAAUUUAAUUUUUCAUUGAGUUGAAAAUGGAGAAUACUAGAUGCACUUGAAAUAACACAACAGAAACCCAUAGGUACAUUCAGAUGGGAAGGGAAGAGAGGAGAUGAGGUCAGUGAGGCUGUGAAGAAGACACGAGGCUACCUCUCCCUCCACUAACCGCCCCACGCGCUUGGACUGACGUUGGUGGACAUGACCCUUCCCUGACCAUGGCCUCCAUCUCCUCAAACCCCCGAGCCCUCCUUCCCUGCAGAUGCCUGACUUUGCCCACCAGCCCCUGCACACACUCUGCCACAUGCAGAGGGAUCUCGUCACCCUCAGGUCAAACUCACAGGUGCAUAUUCAAGUGGCCACACAGGUGAGCGGCCUGGAAGAGCAGCAGUCCACAGUGCUGGGGCUGCCCCUUGCUGAAGCCACUGCCAUAGUGCUGCCAGCCGUGACAUCUGCCAGCUUUUUCUGUGGGAAAGCAAGCCUCAUGCCCACCUCGUGGGAGGGCCCCACCACAGUGCAUUCUCCUCCCAUCACUCCUGGGCAAAAACAGAGAUUUAGUGGCUGGCCCAGGAACAGAGCCUGAGGCUUCCCUUCCAGCCCGAAGGCUGAAACCGCCCAACAGCUGCAAGUAAAAACUCGUUUCUUUCACCUCAUGUCUUCCCCUUCUGGAAAAAUUUAAUUAAAUUUGAACUAAAAUUUGGCAGCUUCAGCCCAGAUCUAUAAUGACCAAGACAUUAUCUUUCAGAGAAUAAACUUCCACAGGAGAGAAAAAAAAGAAAAAAGGCAACUAGUUUAAGUCACCUCAACUUUUAUUUUCAGAGAGGGAAAAAGACUAGAGAAUCUCAUGAAGUGCUGCUCAUUCUACAACCCUACUGCUGUCAACAAGACUGUUGAUGUGUCAUGCUAGACUCUUGAGGUUUGAAAUAUCCACAGGUAGCAAGAACAUUGACUUAAACAAUUUGCCUAUGUUAAGACAGACUUGGGAGUUAUGUCCUGGUCCUCUUUACCUUGCUUUGUUUCUAACACUGAGGUUUUGCAGUGAAAGGGCUAAUCAAGGGGGAGGAUGACAUUUCCAAGACUCACAUGAGAAGCGCAGCACAAUCCAGAUUCCAUUUAAAAUUAUGCAUAUAGCGGGAUGAAUAAAGAUUUUCCAACUUGGAUGAUUUCACUGCCAAAUUUCAAUAGUCCUUUUAAUUACAUUAUUGUAUUUCUAUUUUAGAUAACAAGAGGGUAUCUGGUAUUUUAUGUACAGUCUGCAGAACUAGAUGCAACUAUUGGCUUUCUGGCACCUUGCCUCUGUGUCUGAGAGAGUUAUAAAGCUUGGGCAGCUAUGCCAGUACACACCAUUGUUUGUACCUGCUGCAAUUCAGUUGUUACAGCAGCAGUUGUAGCAAUCUAACAAGUAGAACACCCGCUUUACUGCCUGUUUUAUUACCAAGACAGAUAAAAUUUGUACAAGUAGUGCUCAGGGAACCAGCAUAUAACAGUACAUCUGAAUUAAAAACUAAAGUAUUAUCUAGCUGAACUCAUUAGCAUUUACAGGAAUGGGUAAACAGAUUUGUUUCCCCCAUCCAUUAUGUUGCUCCCUGCACAACAGCCAUUUGUUCUGAGCCUCUCUUAGCAACUUAUUGGAAGAAAACAAACAGAUAAGAUGGCAGUACUGACUGGAUGAACAACACUAAUACCCCUGGAGAACAUGCGAGAAUACUGUAAGAUUUGUCUACUAUAUACCUUCCAACAGUUAGCUCAGCAGAUUUGAUGUUUCAUGUACUAGAGUUCUUCCCAAACUUUGUAAACAGAAUACAGGAAAAUGGCUUUUCAGUCUGAGACCCAAAAUGGGACUUUGGCAUCCCUAACUCCCACCCUUGGGUGCCACUCCUCUCCUGGUAAGUUUUCAACUUACCUUUUUUCUGAAGGUGUGUCUCAGGAAUUCGUGACAGUUUUGAGUACCUCAAGCAUAUUUCUUCCACGAUCAAAGACCUAACAGCUGUAUCUACCUCUUGCUUGGGGUGCUGUUCUCACUUUGCACCU